rnacentral:tRNA from 1 species
UCCCUGGUGGCUCAGAGGUUAAAGUGUCUGCCUCCAAUGCGGGAGACCUGGGUUCAAUCCCUGGAUUGGGAA